CCUUUUUGAUGGAUGAGCAAAUUCCAUGUAUGGAGUCUCUUGGUGCACUGUGCCUCUUCCAUUUGGUUCAGGGUUUGCUGUAAUGAAUGGUCAGCUGUAAGUGGGUGACACUGCCAUGUUCUGUGCAGACGGUGACCGAGGAGCUGUGUCUGCCUCCCAUACCUACCCUGGCCUUUCUUCCUGGCCCGAGUCUUGGCUGAUUUGUCUAUGCUCUGAUGUCACUUUGGUGUUACACAUUCUAGAUCCUGGUGUCUAAGAAUGCCACCAGCAUAGAAGGAAGGAGAUGUUCUAUUGUACGGGAUCGUCCAGUGCUUCAUUGAGACAAACCAAGCAGAUUUGAUUAUAUCAGAACCAAGAAAUGCUAAUAGUUGCUUCUCGCUUACUAAGACUCGGAGUCAAGAAUUGCUGCAAUAUUUAGAGAAAUCUGCUAAAUCCCGAUUUAAUUUUGAUUCAUUUUGCUGGAAGCAUUGGUGGAGACAGGAAGUUAGUGUUGGGGAUCAGAAGCUAUUGAUAUUUUCAGCCACAACCAAGAGCCUGGAUGAAUAAUGUGUAUCAGUGGUUGUGCCACUUUGAAAAGCCCAAAAACUAUCAUUAAAGCAAAAUUUUAUACU